rnacentral:rRNA from 1 species
UACGUAGGCAGCAAGCGUUGUUCGGAGUUACUGGGCGUAAAGAGUAUGUAGGCGGUGUCCUAAGUUCGGUGUGAAAUCUCCCGGCUCAACUGGGAGGGUGCGCCGAAGACUGGGAUGCUGGAGUCUCGGAGAGGAACGCGGAAUUCCUGGUGUAGCGGUGAAAUGCGUAGAUAUCAGGAGGAACACCAGUGGUGUAGACGGCGUUCUGGACGAGUACUGACGCUGAGGCACGAAAGCGUGGGGAGCAAACAGG